rnacentral:rRNA from 1 species
GACGAACGCUGGCGGCGUGCUUAACACAUGCAAGUCGAACGAAGUGGCGAACGGGUGAGUAACGCGUAAUCAACCUGCCCAUCAGAGGGGGAAAACAGUGGGAAACGACUGCUAAUACCGCAUACUGAAGGAGGGGAUGGGGUCUGAUUAGCUAGUUGGGGGGGUAACGGCCCACCAAGGCGAUGAGCAGUAGCCGGUCUGAGAGGAUGAACGGCCAAAUUGGGACUUGGGCACGGCCCAGGCUCCUACGGGAGGCAGCAGGUGGGAAUCUUCCGCAAUGGACGGAAGUCUGACGGAGCAACGCCGCGUGAGUGAUGACGGCCUUCGGGUUUUUAAGCUCUGUUAAUCGGGACGCGGUACCGGAAUAGAAAGCCACGGCUAACUCCGUGCCAGCAGCCGCGGUAAUAC